rnacentral:rRNA from 1 species
AUUGAACGCUGGCGGCAGGCUUAACACAUGCAAGUCGAGCGGAGAUGAGGUGCUUGCACCUUAUCUUAGCGGCGGACGGGUGAGUAAUGCUUAGGAAUCUGCCUAUUAGUGGGGGACAACAUUCCGAAAGGAAUGCUAAUACCGCAUACGUCCUACGGGAGAAAGCAGGGGAUCCUCGGACCUUGCGCUAAUAGAUGAGCCUAAGUCGGAUUAGCUAGUUGGUGGGGUAAGGGCCUACCAAGGCGACGAUCUGUAGCGGGUCUGAGAGGAUGAUCCGCCACACUGGGACUGAGACACGGCCCAGACUCCUACGGGAGGCAGCAGUGGGGAAUAUUGGACAAUGGGGGAAACCCUGAUCCAGCCAUGCCGCGUGUGUGAAGAAGGCCUUAUGGUUGUAAAGCACUUUAAGCGAGGAGGAGGCUACUGAGACUAAUACUCUUGGAUAGUGGACGUUACUCGCAGAAUAAGCACCGGCUAACUCUGUGCCAGCCGCCGCCGUAAAAC